UGGGGAAUAUUGCACAAUGGGCGCAAGCCUGAUGCAGCCAUGCCGCGUGUGUGAAGAAGGCCUUCGGGUUGUAAAGCACUUUCAGCGGGGAGGAAGGCGAUAAGGUUAAUAACCUUGUCGAUUGACGUUACCCGCAGAAGAAGCACCGGCUAACUCCGUGCCAGCAGCCGCGGUAAUACGGAGGGUGCAAGCGUUAAUCGGAAUUACUGGGCGUAAAGCGCACGCAGGCGGUCUGUCAAGUCGGAUGUGAAAUCCCCGGGCUCAACCUGAGAAGUGCAUUCGAAACUGGCAGGCUAGAGUCUUGUAGAGGGAGGUAGAAUUCCAGGUGUAGCGAUGAAAUGCGUAGAGAUCUGGAAGAACACCGGUGGCGAAGGCGGCCCGCUGGACAAAGACUGACGCUCAGGUGCGAAAGCGUGGGGAGCAAACAGG
rnacentral:rRNA from 1 species